UGUUACCCCCACAACCUUUACCUCAAAUCCCAACUACACACUCAACCUUUAAAGGUGACCUAUUAACCCCCUGAACUAUUUUAAAGUAGAAUUAUUAAACCUCCCAAAACUGACAAUCAGUCAUUGCAAAUAUGGUGUGAUGCACGCGCCGCCACGUCAUGCCACAUCAUUGCCACGUCAUUUUUUAUUUUUUUACUCUAAAAAAAUAAUAAUUUAACAUUAUUAUUUCCUAAUUAUUAUUUUUCUUUCUUCUUCUUUUUCUUCUUUUUCUUCUUCUUCUUCUUCUUCUCCAGUUCUUCUUCUUCUUCAAUGGCACCCAAGAACCCAUCAAUGACAAUUAUUAUUUUUCCUUCUUCUUCUUCAAUGGCAUCGAAGAACCCAUCAAUGACAUUUCUUCAUCAAUAGCAUCCAAGAACUCAUCAAUGACAUUCAAGAUUAAUUUAUCAUCUUCAUCAUCUCCCCAUUCAAGAAUUCAAGUUCUUAAAUUUUUUCAAGUUAAUUCGGGUUCAAUGACAUUUCUUCUUCAAUAGCAUCCAAGAACUAAUCAAUGGCAUUCAAGAUUAAUUUAUCAUCUUCCUUAUCUCCUCAUUCAAGAAUUCAAGUUCUUAAUUUUUUUCACGUUUUUUGAAUCGAAAUUCUUAGUUCAAGUGAGAACUCAUUAAUGUCAUUUCUUCUUCUUCUUCUUCUUCUUCAAUGGCAUCCAGGAACUAGAAUUAUGUGAGAAUGUUGAAUAAAAAAAGUCGAAUGUCAUUGAUUACGUGAAGCUGAAUCGAAUGUUGAAUCAACGUGUUGAAUCAAAAUGUUGAAUCGAAUUACGUGAAAUUCAUCAAAAAAAAAAGUCGACGUAAUUUUGAAUUUUCCGGCGCCGUCACUGUCCAUCGGCAUUUCACCAUUGAAGUUGCACCAUUGAAGGCAUUGAAGAAGAAGAAUAGAAAAAGAAGAAAAAGAAGAAGAAGAAGAAGAAGAAGCCAUUGAAGAAGAAAAAUAGAAGAAAAAGCCAAUAUUUAUUAAGAAAAAAUAAUAAUUAUUAAAAAUAAUGGCGCGGCAAUAAAAAAAUAAUGAUUUUAAAGUGAAAAAAAAGUCAACUGACGCGCCUUUGGGCGUGUGUAGUCACGUUCAGUGACACGUCAGCAACUGGGGUUAAUAAUUUCGGUAAAAAUAAGUUCAGGGGGGUAAUAGGCCACAUUAAAGAUGGAGUGUAUAGUUGGAAUUUCGACUAAAGGUUGGGGGGUAACAGACCAUUUUCUCAUGCUAUUAUACAAAAAAUCAGAAGACGUGCCAAUUAAAUUCAAAUGAUUGAAACAAAAUGCUUUCUUAUAUACUUUUCCAUAACACUUCAGAUAAUAGUGCCAUGCAUAUUCAGA
rnacentral:lncRNA from 1 species